rnacentral:rRNA from 1 species
CACAUGCAGUCGAGCGGAUGAGAAGAGCUUGCUCUUCGAUUCAGCGGCGGACGGGUGAGUAAUGCCUAGGAAUCUGCCUAUUAGUGGGGGACAACGUUUCGAAAGGAACGCUAAUACCGCAUACGUCCUACGGGAGAAAGCAGGGGACCUUCGGGCCUUGCGCUAAUAGAUGAGCCUAGGUCGGAUUAGCUAGUUGGUGAGGUAAUGGCUCACCAAGGCUACGAUCCGUAACUGGUCUGAGAGGAUGAUCAGUCACACUGGAACUGAGACACGGUCCAGACUCCUACGGGAGGCAGCAGUGGGGAAUAUUGGACAAUGGGCGAAAGCCUGAUCCAGCCAUGCCGCGUGUGUGAAGAAGGUCUUCGGAUUGUAAAGCACUUUAAGUUGGGAGGAAGGGCAGUAACCUAAUACGUUAUUGUUUUGACGUUACCGACAGAAUAAGCACCGGCUAACUCUGUGCCAGCAGCCGCGGUAAUACAGAGGGUGCAAGCGUUAAUCGGGAAUUACUGGGCGUAAAGCGCGCGUAGGGUGGUUUGUUAAGUUUGAUGUGAAAGCCCCGGGCUCAACCUGGGAACUGCAU